rnacentral:rRNA from 1 species
AUUGAACGCUGGCGGCAGGCUUAACACAUGCAAGUCGAACGAGUGGCGGACAGGUGUGUAACGCUUGGGAAUCUAGCUUAUGGAGGGGGAUCACUAUGGGAAACUGUAGCUAAUACCGCGUACCAUAGGAUGAGCCCAAGUGGGAGUAGGUAGUUGGUGAGGUAAAGGCUAACCCAGCCGACGAACUCUAGCUGGUCUGAGAGGAUUACCAGCCACACGGGGACUGAGGAACGGCCCAGACUCCUACGGGAGGCAGCAGUGGGGAAUAUUGCGCAAUGGGGGCAACCUGACGCAGCCAUGCCGCGUGAAUGAAGAAGGCCUUCGGGUUGUAAAGUUCUUUCGGUAGCGAGGCGUUAACUACAGAAGAAGCACCGGCUAACUCCGUGCCAGCAGCCGCGGUAAUUC